ACCUUCUGUGGUGUAGUGGUAGCGCCUUGGCUUAGUAAUCAUAAGUCUUAGGUUCGAGUCAUAGUUGGGGUA